CGAGUCGUAGGGUUCGUCCGAAACCCGAAGGCGCAGUGAAAGUAGAGGUCGGAUUCUUAUCUCCUCGCGGGAUUUUUGUUUGACCGAGGCGGGAUCCGUCUAUUUUUGAUAUCUUUUUUUUUUUUUUUAAAGGAAAAAAAGACCCAAAAAUUUGAAGAACGAAACUUUUAUUUUGUUUCUUCCUUUUCUCCUUCGGGGGUUUAGGAGAAACAGAGUUUUUUUCUUUGGACGGCGCACCGCCGGCCCGUCUCGACCGCCGCGUCGGUGAGGCGGAGCAAGAGCACACACGUUGGGACCCGAAAGAUGGUGAACUAUUCCUAGGCAGGACGAAGCCAGAGGAAACUCUGGUGGAGGUCCGUAGCGUUUCUGACGUGCAAAUCGAUCGUCAGACCUGGGUAUAGGGGCGAAAGACUAAUCGAACCAUCUAGUAGCUGGUUCCCUCCGAAGUUUCCCUCAGGAUAGCUGGCUCUCGAGACACACAGUCUCAUCCGGUAAAGCGAAUGAUUAGAGGCCUUGGGGCCGAAACGACCUCAACCUAUUCUCAAACUUUCAAUGGGUGAGAAGUCCGGCUUGCUCGACUGAAGCCCGGACGUCGGAUGCGAGUGCCCAGUGGGCCACUUUUGGUAAGCAGAACUGGCGCUGUGGGAUGAACCAAACGCCGGGUUACGGCGCCAAAUGCGACGCUCAUCAGACACCAUGAAAGGUGUUGGUUGCUAUAGACAGCAGGACGGUGGCCAUGGAAGUCGGAAUCCGCUAAGGAGUGUGUAACAACUCACCUGCCGAAGCAACUAGCCCUGAAAAUGGAUGGCGCUCAAGCGUCGAGCCUAUACCCGGCCGCCGGGGCAGAGCCCGCUUUGUGUUUGUUUUUUUUUUUUCCUUAAACAAGAAAAGAGAAAAAUUUAUAUAAGAUAAAACGGCCCCAGACGCCCCGGCGAGUAGGAGGGUCGCGGCGGUGAGCGGAAAAGGGUCGGGCGUAGGCCCGCCUGGAGCCUCCGCCGGUGCAGAUCUUGGUGGUAGUAGCAAAUACUCGAGUGAGAACCUUGAGGACUGAUGUGGAGAAGGGUUCCAUGUGAACAGCAGUUGAACAUGGGUCAGUCGGCCCUAAGGAAUAGGGAAAUCCCGUUCCGAACGGGGGGGUGUAUAAUAUAAAGUGAAAAUAACCCCCGCCCAGACCGAAAGGGAAUCGGGUUAAUAUUCCCGAACCCGGACACGGAGAUCGGGCCCAUCGUGGUCCAGUGCGGUGACGCAAGCCACCUCGGAGACGUCGGCGGGAGUCCCGGGAAGAGUUGUCUUUUCUUUGUAAGGGACGGAAUCCCUGGAAUCGGUUCGCCCGGAGAUAGGGAUGUGGUUUCCGUAAAGCACCGCGCCUCCUGCGGUGUCCGGACAGCUCUCGUCGGCCCUUGAAAAUCCGAGGAAGGUAGUGCGAUUUUCGUGCCGGGCCGUACCCAUAUCCGCAGCAGGUCU
rnacentral:rRNA from 1 species